UUAAAACAUUGGUUCCCGUACAAUCACAGCAAGUUAAGCAACGUCGAGCUUGGUCAGUACCUAGAUAGGUGACCACUUUGGAACAGCAGGUGCUGUAAG